rnacentral:rRNA from 1 species
GACGAACGCUGGCGGCGUGCCUAAUACAUGCAAGUAGAACGCUGAAGAGAGGAGCUUGCUCUUCUUGGAUGAGUUGCGCACGGGUGAGUAACGCGUAGGUAACCUGCCUUGUAGCGGGGUAUAACUAUUGGAAACGAUAGCUAAUACCGCAUAACAAUGGAUGACCCAUGUCAUUUAUUUGAAUGGGGCAAAUGCUCCACUACAAGAUGGACCUGCGUUGUAUUAGCUAGUAGGUGAGGUAUCGGCUCACCUAGGCGAGGAAACAUAGCCGACCUGAGAGGGUGGUCGGCCGCACUGGGAGGGAGACACGGCCCAGAGUCCUUCGGGAGGCAGCAGUAGGGAUACGGCGGCAAGGGGGGCAACACUGACCGAGAAAGGCCGAGGGAGGGAAGAAGGGUUUCGGAUCGGAGAGGUCUGUUGUAAGUCUAGAACGAGUGUGAGAGUGGAAAGUUCACACUGUGACGGUAGCUGAUCAGAAAGGGACGGCUAACUACGUG